UACGGAGGAUGCGAGCGUUAUCCGGAUUUAUUGGGUUUAAAGGGUGCGUAGGCGGGAUGCCAAGUCAGCGGUAAAAAUGCGGUGCUCAACGCCGUCGAGCCGUUGAAACUGGCGUUCCUGAGUGGGCGAGAAGUAUGCGGAAUGCGUGGUGUAGCGGUGAAAUGCAUAGAUAUCACGCAGAACUCCGAUUGCGAAGGCAGCAUACCGGCGCCCUACUGACGCUGAGGCACGAAAGCGUGGGUAUCGAACAGG
rnacentral:rRNA from 1 species